rnacentral:rRNA from 1 species
CCUACGGGUGGCAGCAGUGAGGAAUAUUGGUCAAUGGACGAGAGUCUGAACCAGCCAAGUAGCGUGAAGGAUGACUGCCCUAUGGGUUGUAAACUUCUUUUAUAUGGGAAUAAAAUGUUCCACGUGUGGGAUUUUGUAUGUACCCUAUGAAUAAGGAUCGGCUAACUCCGUGCCAGCAGCCGCGGUAAUACGGAGGAUCCGAGCGUUAUCCGGAUUUAUUGGGUUUAAAGGGUGCGUAGGUGGAUUGUUAAGUCAGUUGUGAAAGUUUGCGGCUCAACCGUAAAAUUGCAGUUGAAACUGGCAGUCUUGAGUACAAUAGAGGUGGGCGGAAUUCGUGGUGUAGCGGUGAAAUGCUUAGAUAUCACGAAGAACUCCGAUUGCGAAGGCAGUUCACUGGACUGCAACUGACACUGAGGCUCGAAAGUGUGGGUAUCAAACAGGAUUAGAUACCCGAGUAGUC